GUGGAUCCGGUCCUUAGAGCGGAGUUGAGGGAGGUAAAGCAUGAGAAGCCCCCGAAGGGUGUGUGUGGAGUGGGAAGAUGCUGAGAGGGGAGGAGGGUGACCCCCCGCCCCCUUGUCUGGGACUCACCUCGGCCAGGGCUGAGCCACAGGGCCAGGCUUAGGGCCCGGACACCCGCCUCCCGAGGGAAAUACCACGAGGGCCUGUGCCCGGUGGGUUUUUCUCCACCAAGAACCAGAGAAUCUGGAAGGGCCUUCAGGGUCAUUUGACCUAAGGGGUCACGGUGCUCAGGGAGGAGCAGAGAUGCCAUGAAGGGGACCAGCAGGCUGAUGGUGUCUCGCAUGCCAGCUUCCUAGGCCAAGGCAGGUCCGUACAGCAGCCCACAGUCCUCUAGGCAAGGGGCUUGGGCAGCCCCUGUUUGCAAGGGGAGAGCUACAGGACUGGUCUUGAAGCCACAGUAGCAGAGAGGUGCACGGGGUCUAUUGGGUGGAGGGUUUCUAACGGGUGGCCUGGGGGAGGGCACACAUGGACGUUAUGAAGGAGAUUUAGCUCCUGCCCCUCCCCCUGGCAAACUCCAUCAUAACCCCACCGCAACCUCUGUUUUCUCCUGUCAGCCUCGGAGGGCCUCUGUCCCUGCAGCCAAAAAUGCCCUAGCGUGAAAAUAUAAUAUCUAAUCCAGCGGUUCUCAAUCCCGGCUGGACAUCAGCACGAGCCACCGAUUCAAUCCAAAUCUCUGGAGGUGGGGCCUGGGUCUUUUCUAAAGUUCCCCAGGUGAUUCUGGCGGGCAGCCAGCGUGGGGAUCCCGAGGUAGUCCGACGCCCUGGGCUGUCUGGCUCUUGGUCUGUGUCCUCAUCAUCCCGCCCCCAGUGCCGUGGGUGGGACCCAGGUCACAGCAAAUAUACAUACAAAUACGGGAGCCCGCCCCUACGGCUCCAGCACCCACGAUGGUGGCCUACGUACCCCAACAGCCAUUGUAGCAACACUUCCUGCCUGGAUUCUGGGCCAUUCAUUGCACGUGGCUCAGUGCUUCCCUGGGUUUCUCCUGCUCCUGUCCCCCUGAGCCCCACGCACCGGGUGUGGACGGCGCAGACUGGGUGUGAACAUGCUGGAGGUACCAGCUGUCGGCAAGCUCCCCGCAAAAACCGGACUCCCGCUCUCUCUCCUGAGCCAAAGGCACACGCAUCACCUUUAACACAGCAGUCCCGCCCCUGAGAGCGUAUCCUAAGGGAAUAAUCCUGAAGACAUGAAAAAGCUCUUUGAACAAAGUUUCGGCAUUGUAUCCAAAAGCAGGGAGCUGGAAGCCACCUAAGUGUCCAGUUCCAGGGUACCUGGGAAGGAACAGCACACCCACUGUAAAAGCUAAUUGUGAGGACGGUUGCAACAUCGGAGAUGGCUAAUGACACAGUGUUGAGUGCAAAAUUGCAUUGGGCAGGAGCCCAGCUGUGAAAAGUUGCAUAUGUGCAUGUACAAGGGCUGGAGGGGA
rnacentral:lncRNA from 1 species